UGUAUGCAUAUGUAUAUAUAAAUCCAACGGGGAUGAUGGGGAUCGACUCGGACAAUACGCGAAUUUAAACCUGAUCAAACUAUAAAAAAGUUUAUUAAAACGUUUGGACUGUAAAAUAUUCCACUGAUAUUUCGGGGACGCAGUGAUAUAUUUCGUAACAUGUUUUAACUAUAUUAACGGAUUUAAUAGAUUACUUUCGGUACACAUCGCAUGACUAUUUG